rnacentral:rRNA from 1 species
UUGCUAUCUGCUGACGAGCGGCGGACGGGUGAGUAACGCGUAGGAAUCUGCCCGGUAGCGGGGGAUAGCCCAGAGAAAUUUGGAUUAAUACCGCAUACGCCCUACGGGGGAAAGGAGGGGACUCUUCGGAGCCUUCCACUAUCGGAUGAGCCUGCGUGAGAUUAGCUAGUUGGCGGGGUAAAGGCCCACCAAGGCGACGAUCUCUAGCUGGUCUGAGAGGAUGAUCAGCCACACCGGAACUGAGACACGGUCCGGACUCCUACGGGAGGCAGCAGUGGGGAAUAUUGCACAAUGGGCGAAAGCCUGAUGCAGCCAUGCCGCGUGUGUGAAGAAGGCCUUAGGGUUGUAAAGCACUUUCAGCGAGGAGGAAAGCUUGUGAGUUAAUACCUCUCAAGUGUGACGUUACUCGCAGAAGAAGCACCGGCUAACUCCGUGCCAGCAGCCGCGGUAAUACGGAGGGUGCAAGCGUUAAUCGGAAUUACUGGGCGUAAAGCGCGCGUA